rnacentral:lncRNA from 1 species
GGUUUGUAAAUGCACCAAUCAACACUCUGUCAAAACGGACCAAUCAGCACUCUGUAAAACGGACCAAUCAGCACUCUGUAAAAUGGACCAAUCAGCUCUCUGUAAAAUGGACCAAUCAGCAGGAUGUGGGUGGGGCCAAAUAAAAGCAGGCCACCCGCGUCAGCACCAGCAACCUGCUGGGGUCCAGUUCCAGUCUGUGGGAGGUUUGUUCUUUCGCUCUUCUCAGUGACUCUUGCUGUUGCUCACUUUUUGGGGCUGCGCUAAUCUUUAUGAGCUGUAACACUCACUGCGAAGGUCUGCACUUCACUCCUGAAGACAGCGAGACCACGAAGGGAGACCACCGGGAGGGACGAACAACUCUGGAGUGCCAGCUUUAUGAACUGUAACCCUCACCGCGAAGGUCUGCAGCUUCACUCCUGAAGUCAGCGAGACCACAAACCCAGCAGUAGGAAGAAACUCCAGACACGUCUGAACAUCAGAAGGAACAAACUCUGGACACACCAUCUUUAAGAACUGUAACACUCACCACAAGUGUCCGCGGCUUCAUACUUGAAGUCAGUGAGACCAAGAACCCGCCAAUUCCGGACACAGUAGCUGGGAUUACAUGCGCCCGCCACCACACCCAGGGCACUGAGAGUGGCAAGGCCAAAUGGAGAAAAAUAAUUCAGUCGACUGAGAAAAAAACCUCUUUCUAGCAAAACAAGAUCCAAGAAAAGAAAAACGUAAAGGCCUGCCACGCCAGGGGGCCAAUAUUUCUGGCUUUCAAACUUCAUUAAAGGCUCAGAGAAAGGAAAAUUCAAGGCUGUUUGUGGAGGGGAAGAGAACAGAGAGCAAAGGUUGCGUAGAUACCAAACCAGAAAGGACUCAUUCCCUACACCAGGAUUGAACCCCAGGCCACCAUUGUAAAAUGGCGGAGGCCAAAACAAAACCAUUGUCACGUGGUUGCAGGCCACACUCCCAAAGAUGUGAAACAAGAUGGAGGCCUGCCACAGAGUUUGCUGCGGACUAUACAGAAAGACAUGGAAAGCACACCAGAUUGGCUACAACUCAAGACCAACCUCAUAAAUCCUUUUUCAUAAUUAAAACUUUACAGAGAAUAUAAACAGUGAUCUCUAU